rnacentral:lncRNA from 1 species
UUCUUUAUGUUUAUCCAAUUUUUUGGUCUUUCCUUUUGAUUUUGCAACAUGCAUGACUUCUUUCAUCUUCAAUGGGGUAUUACCAGACUUCGACAUACCCUCUUGUUGAUUAAUUUGAGAUUUAGCAAUGGACCCUGAAAUUUCUUGGAAAUCCUGAGUUAAAACCCAAAGAAAAAGAUGAAAAAUCAUCCAAAAACUCUUGAUUCGAUUGUAUACCUAUAGUGAUUCUCUUAGAAGGUGUUUCUUCUUCAUCCAUGAUUUUGAAUGUCUAAAAUCAAAAAACUGAAAAGGAACAAAAAAAUCCACAGUUUUAUACAAAAACAAAAACAAUGAAAUAAGUAUGAAACCGGAAAAACAAUUACCUGAAAAAUCUGAGAGAACAAAUUGAGAGGGAGAGACUGAAAUUUUGAAUUUUGG